GCCUCUCCCACUGCUGCAGUCUUUAAAUGUUGGAGGAGAGAAGUGCACAUUACACUCCAGUGCUCGCCUUGAACGUUUGAAAAUAGUAUCCGCCCAGCAACAUGCACUCCAGGGCUCAGAUCUGCGAUGGAAUUGGGAUGCAGGCAGGAGGCAGGUUGGUGCUUUUGUGGCAGAACUGUGGCUCUUCGGUGUCACUGCCCUGCUCUGGACAGCAAUUGGCAGCAAUAAAUGCCAGCCUGCAUUUCUCAUUCUCCUCCUAGCAAAAGGAAACUGCUCCAGCGCGCAGUUAGGAAGAAGAAUGAAAGGAUCAGAGAAUUUCAGUUUGGAAAAUGAAAGAAGAGAACAAGACAGACUUUGCCCGUGGUUGAGAGGCCUGACUGCUCCAGAGGCAUGUUGUCCCUACAGCUCCUGAUCACCGGAGCCUCCCCAUUAUCUCCAUCGUCUCCGGUGUCAGGAGGAGCGACAGCCAUCAGCAGAUGCUGCGUGAUGUGAAGACAGGGCAGGGCUCUCAGAGAGGACAACUCCAUUAAGCCACUGCAGCAGGGCAGAGCACACCUCCCUCCUUGCUUUGCUGUGGGUAAUUCCUCUGUGGACACACAGAGUGCUUUUGGAACAAGUACUUAGGAUACUUGCACUAUCACAUGGGGCUGCCCCAGCACUUCAAGCCUUACAGCACGCACAGGUUACAACCUGAGAUAACGCAGGGACACUGUUUUUUGCUAAUCUGAAACUAGUUCUUGGAUCGCUCCCUAACUACCCUUUCUCCUUAUAGUCAUUCCAAAAAGAAAACAUCCCCGAUAAGACGUUAUUAAAAAUGCAUAGUGGCUUUAAAUGUAAAUAUCAGCUGGAAGCUCUGCCUUAGAUUCUGCAGCUGCAGUUCAAGUCAGUGUGCUUAGCCCCAUCUAUUCCUUAUCAUAACGAGGGCUAGCAAAAUACCACAGCCCGAACCAAGCAUAACUUGUCUUGCAACUUCUGAAAGAGUGAAGAUCAAUUUUCUCCCUGAGCAACAGCCUAAUUCAUCAGCAGAGUGGAGACUAAACUGUGGCAAGAACAAAUAGCAGAGAGGUACAGAAAGAGAGAAAGAGAAGGGGCUGAAAGGAACACAAAGACAAAGCAGUUUGCAAGCUAGCGAGGUGCCGCCUGGCCUGGAAGAGGUGGUUCUGUGCACAACCCCUGCGUGCCAUUUGCAGAGCAGUGAGCCCCAGAGUUACAGUGUGAGACCCAUCCUGCUCUAAGGCAUCAGCUGCCUCGCUGUAAGCACAUCCCUUGUUCUCAUGAGUCUGUUUGGAGCGUGCUGAAAUGUGGAGAGACAGGAAUUCUUUGUGAACUAACUGCAAAUGUCACAGCAGCAACAGCAAAAAAUAAAAUGAAAUAUAUAACAUGUUCAUUUCAAAAGCAGCAGUUUAAAACAAAAUCACACUAGAACAUUGCAUUUAGUGAAAUGGUGGUGGAAGCACCCGUUACCAGCAAAUCACAGUGCACGUGUCUGCAUGUCUGUCUGUCCAUGCAUGCACGUGCACACACAAGUGUGUAUGAGUCCCUCAUGGAAGUCUCCAAGGACUGGAUUAACCAAGAGUUUGCAUUGGGGUAAUGGAAAAUAUGACCUCAUUAGCACUAGGUUUGUCAUUUGCUCCAUAACACAAAAGUAAAUUACAAUGUAUUAAUGCAGUUAGUGUUGUUUUUAAUGUGCACUGGGAUACAAUAAAAGUU